AUUGAACGCUGGCGGCAUGCCUUACACAUGCAAGUCGAACGGCAGCACGGGAGCAAUCCUGGUGGCGAGUGGCGAACGGAUGAGUAAUAUAUCGGAACGUGCCCAGUCGUGGGGGAUAACGCAGCGAAAGCUGUGCUAAUACCACAUACGAUCUAUGGAUGAAAGCGGGGGAUCGCAAGACCUCGCGCGAUUGGAGCGGCCGAUAUCAGAUUAGCUAGUUGGUGGGGUAAAGGCCCACCAAGGCGACGAUCUGUAGCUGGUCUGAGAGGACGACCAGCCACACUGGAACUGAGACACGGUCCAGACUCCUACGGGAGGCAGCAGUGGGGAAUUUUGGACAAUGGGCGCAAGCCUGAUCCAGCAAUGCCGCGUGCAGGAUGAAGGCCUUCGGGUUGUAAACUGCUUUUGUACGGAACGAAACGGUCUGCCCUAAUACGGUGGGCUAAUGACGGUACCGUAAGAAUAAGCACCGGCUAACUACGUGCCAGCCGCCGCAGUAA
rnacentral:rRNA from 1 species